rnacentral:rRNA from 1 species
AAUAGAUACCCGGGUAGUCCAUGCCGUAAACGAUGAGUGCUAAGUGUUGGAGGGUUUCCGCCCUUCAGUGCUGCAGCUAACGCAUUAAGCACUCCGCCUGGGGAGUACGACCGCAAGGUUGAAACUCAAAGGAAUUGACGGGGGCCCGCACAAGCGGUGGAGCAUGUGGUUUAAUUCGAAGCUACGCGAAGAACCUUACCAGGUCUUGACAUCUUCUGCCAAUCUUAGAGAUAAGACGUUCCCUUCGGGGACAGAAUGACAGGCGGUGCAUGGUUGUCGUCAGCUCGUGUCGUGAGAUGUUGGGUUAAGUCCCGCAACGAGCGCAACCCUUAUUAUCAGUUGCCAGCAUUCAGUUGGGCACUCUGGUGAGACUGCCGGUGACAAACCGGAGGAAGGUGGGGAUGACGUCAAAUCAUCAUGCCCCUUAUGACCUGGGCUACACACGUGCUACAAUGGACGGUGCAACGAGUUGCGAAGUCGUGAGGCUAAGCUAAUCUCUUAAAAGUCGUUCUCAGUUCGGAUUGGU